CCCAAGUCUGCUAAAAACCGUCUCUAGAUCUCUUCUCCGUGUGUUUUGCUGAUGGGUAAAAGAGCAGUAGCCACAGAUGACCAGGACUUGCUUUUCGGCAGAACGGAAGCUGCAGGAUGACUCCCUUGUUUCCAGCUCUGUGGUGAGGGUAGCAUCAUAUUGACGGAGAGAUCAUCCUCAUGGAUUUAGUUCUCGGAAGAUCUCUGGGAUUUAAAUUGAAAGGGAGGCUCAAAAGAUGGCUCCACAGGCUAAAUCGCUUGACUUUAAGCUAGAUGACCUGAUUUGGUACCUGAGUCCAAUCUCAGGGAAGAGCUACUGUUCUUCAGAGUUCCUGUUCUUCAGGGCCCAGGUAGGCACAAACACUCAUGAAUGACAGCCAGAUCAGGUGUUCCUGUUUCCCGCUUGCUGUGGUUCAAUAGGACAUUGUGGGGUUUUGUU